UACGGAGGGUGCAAGCGUUAAUCGGAAUUACUGGGCGUAAAGCGUGCGCAGGCGGUUUGUUAAGUCUGCUGUGAAAUCCCCGAGCUCAACUUGGGAAUUGCAGUGGAUACUGGCAAGCUGGAGUACGGUAGAGGAAGGUGGAAUUCCCGGUGUAGCAGUGAAAUGCGUUGAUAUCAGAAGGAACGCCGGUGGCGAAAGCGCUCGACUGGAUCUCUGCUGACGCUGAGGCGCGAAAGCCAGGGGAGCAAACGGG
rnacentral:rRNA from 1 species